rnacentral:rRNA from 1 species
AACGAACGCUGGCGGCAUGCCUAACACAUGCAAGUCGAACGAGACCUUCGGGUCUAGUGGCGCACGGGUGCGUAACGCGUGGGAACCUGCCCUUAGGUUCGGAAUACCUCCCCGAAAGGGGUGCUAAUACCGGAUAAUGUCUUCGGACCAAAGAUUUAUCGCCUUUGGAUGGGCCCGCGUUGGAUUAGCUAGUUGGUAGGGUAAAAGCCUACCAAGGCGACGAUCCAUAGCUGGUCUGAGAGGAUGAUCAGCCACACUGGGACUGAGACACGGCCCAGACUCCUACGGGAAGCAGCAGUGGGGAAUAUUGGACAAGGGGCGAAAGCCUGAUCCAGCAAUGCCGCGUGAGUGAUGAAGGCCUUAGGGUUGUAAAGCUCUUUUACCCGGGAUGAUAAUGACAGUACCGGGAGAAUAAGCUCCGGCUAACUCCGUG